CCAGGUCUGUCCCUCAUCUUGUGGAAUGGGUUGUAUACACAGGAGAAGGUCAUCAUUCAAUGGAUUAAACUAUAACCCAUGACCUCUGACCCCCCCCAGGUCUGUCCCUCAUCUUGUGGAAUGGAGUGUAUACACAGGAGAAGGUCAUCAUUCAAUGGAUUAAACUAUAACCCAUGACCUCUGACCCCCCCCCAGGUCUGUCCCUCAUCUUGUGGAAUGGAGUGUAUACACAGGAGAAGGUCAUCAUUCAAUGGACUCUGCUCAGUGAAGCAUGCUACUUUGCUGUCCAGUUUUUAGUUACGUCUGUCACCCUGGUGGAGAUGGGCUUGUUGCCCAACGCUGCCGUCCUCCUCCUCCUCAGCCGGGUGCUCUUCCUCCUGGUCACUCUCUUCUAUUACUACCACCUGGGGAGAGGACGAGCCAAGAAGAUCUGAGAUGGAGGGAGGGGAGGAGAGAGGACGAGCCAAGAUGAUCUGAGAGCAGGGAGGGGAGGGGACGGAGGGCACAGGGGGAGGGGUAGGUUGUCUGGGAGGGGUGGGUGCUUUCAGAUAUUUAAGCUGGGGUUUAUUGAAUGAAGCGAAAUGUUCACAUUGUCGCAGCUAGUAAUGUAAUGUGUAUAGCUGACAUUAUUCACAGUUCUACAUGACAAACCAGCAUGGCAGAUCUAUACAUUACAUGUAUAACGUUCUACCUUUCUGGUCAGGGUUGUGGGGGCGGGGCCUAUUAGGGUGGUGAUGUGGGGGCGGGGCUUAUCAGGAAUGUGGGUGCAGGGCUUAUCAAGGAUGGAGGCGGGGCUUAUCAUGGAUGGGGGCGGGCUUAUCAGGGAGGGGCUUUCAGCCCCCACAUCACCUCCCACACAUGGUGGUCUGGUGGUCUCAUUUGAUCUCUAUAUGGAUAUUAGAAAGGGUCUGAUUGUGAAUUGGGAGAUUGUUGUCGUCCUCCAAACACUGUUCUCUACUCCGUGUGUGUGUGUGUGUGUGUGUGUGUGUGUGUGGGGGGGGGGGUUCUGUGUAAAAACAACAAAAAAAGUGUGUAUUCAUUUGAAGUAAUGUUUUUCUUGUACAGUAUCUCCCUUCCGUCCAGUCACGUGACUUAGUGCUUACGUCCCAAAUAACAACCUAUUCCCUAUAUAGUGCACUACCUUUGAGCGAAAGUAGAGUUGUAUGGGCCCUGAUGAAAGUAGUGCACUGUCUAGGAAAUAAGUAGCUUUUUGGGGGAUCGAUCCAAGAUGUACAGAGUAAUUUAAAACACUAUACUGUAUUAGUAUGUAGUCAUUUGAAUGUUUUUUUUGUUUUUGUUGUUCAAAUGUGAUCUUUUGGUAGUUUCAUUUUGAAUAUACUGUAGUCUCAAGGACAAAGAGUUUGUUAGUUUAAAGAUGUUCCACUUUUAUGGUGUUGGUUGGUUGGUGACGUUGUUACUGCUCCUGUGCACUAAGGUGAAACCUGUAUAUCUUUGCUCUCUCUCUCUCUCUCUCUCUCUUUCUGUCACGUUUAUCUGUUUCUUUCAGCUGUUCAUUUAACCAGCAGAAUGUUCGCUAUAGGUAGAAGAUGGUGAGGCAGAGCGGUACAGUAAAACAGAAUCACACUAAUUCAAAUAAAAUAUCUAGAACACAGACAUUUCAAGUCUACCGUGUUCUAUUUAUAUGAUCUGACCUGCUGCCCUUGUCUCUAAACUGAAAGGUGAUCAGACCUGCUGCCCUUGUCUCUAAACUGGAAAGGUGAUCAGACCUGCUGCCCUUGUCUCUAAACUGAAAGGUGAUCAGACCUGCUGCCCUUGUCUCUAAACUGGAAAGGUGAUCAGACCUGCUGCCCUUGUCUCUAAACUGAAAGGUGAUCAGACCUGCUGCCCUUGUCUCUAAACUGAAAGGUGAUCAGACCUGCUGCCCUUGUCUCUAAACUGAAAGGUGAUCAGACCUGCUGCCCUUGUCUCUAAACUGAAAAGUAAUCAGACCUGCUGCCCUUGUCUCUAAACUGAAAGGUGAUCAGACCUGCUGCCCUUGUCUCUAAACUGAAAAGUAAUCUGACCUGCUGCCCUUGUCUCUAAACUGGAAAGGUGAUCAGACCUGCUGCCCUUGUCUCUAAACUGAAAGGCGAUCAGACCUGCUGCCCUUGUCUCUAAACUGAAAGGUGAUCAGACCUGCUGCCCUUGUCUCUAAACUGAAAGGUGAUCAGACCUGCUGCCCUUGUCUCUAAACUGAAAGGUGAUCUGACCUGCUGCCCUUGUCUCUAAACUGAAAGGUGAUCUGACCUGCUGCCCUUGUCUCUAAACUGAAAGGUGAUCUGACCUGCUGCCCUUGUCUCUAAACUGAAAGGUGAUCAGACCUGCUGCCCUUGUCUCUAAACUGAAAGGUGAUCAGACCUGUGCUGCCCUUGUCUCUAAACUGAAAGGUGAUCUGACCUGCUGCCCUUGUCUCUAAACUGAAAGGCGAUCUGACCUGCUGCCCUUGUCUCUAAACUGAAAGGUGAUCUGACCUGCUGCCCUUGUCUCUAAACUGAAAGGUGAUCAGACCUGCUGCCCUUGUCUCUAAACUGAAAGGCGAUCAGACCUGCUGCCCUUGUCUCUAAACUGAAAGGUGAUCUGACCUGCUGCCCUUGUCUCUAAACUGAAAGGUGAUCAGACCUGCUGCCCUUGUCUCUAAACUGAAAGGUGAUCAGACCUGUGCUGCCCUUGUCUCUAAACUGAAAGGUGAUCUGACCUGCUGCCCUUGUCUCUAAACUGAAAGGCGAUCAGACCUGCUCAUGGUGAAGCCAUUGUCCAGCUGACAGACCGGUAUAAUGUGUGGAUCAGCAUCCAGAUAUAUAUUUUGUCUGUUCUUAAUGCUGCGUCAGAACACUGAGGGAGGUCUCGGGUCUGCUGUUCAGUCUGUCCAAUGGGCAUAGAGAACGCAUACUGUACAUGAUAGAGAUGCCUCAUCCUCUGACGUGAUAUUGAGAGUGAGCUGACAAUAUGAAGCGUGUCGGGAAUAGACAUCUUACAGGGAUGAUCACCUUUUUAAUUCAGCAAGUUUUGACUUGAAGGUCAAUUCCCAAAAUUAUAUUUUUUUUGUAUAUUUGUUUCAUUAGUCCACUGUUGAUACAGUCCCCCAAAAAAUGUUUUGAAGUGCAGCAAUCAAGUUUUCAAGAUAUAGAACUUUGAAAACGCUAAUUGUCACUUGCCACCAUCAAUCAGCCUACUGUAUAAUUACACUGAAAUAUUUAGUAUUUAUGCAAAAGUUUAACUUGAACAUAAUGUCACAUGCUUAAUAAAUAACAGGGGUAGAUUUAAGUAAGCAUUUCACUGUCGGCCUACACCUAUUGUUUACAAAGCAUGUGACCAAUAACUUUUUAGAUUUGAACCCUACAGCCAUCUGGUUACAGAUGAUCUCUUUUGUGUGUUCAUGGUUGAUGUCAAGAUGGUUUAUGUAGAGAGGAGGACAUUUGUUUCAUUUUUACGGUGUACUUUCGAUGUGACCAGCAGAGCGUGCCAGUGUUAGUCAGGGUCGUCUUUAUUGGUGACGACGGCACAACUUUUAUACACACCAUAUCUAUCUUUAGUCUUGCCUUAAACUUUUCAAAGAACAGUCACCAACCAACAUGCACUUCCCUUGAUACAUGUAAAUAAAGUAGCCAUAUACUGUA